UCAAUUUGAAGGCGAACACAUGCUGCUUACAACCAUAAUACUCACUUUAAGGUCAUAUUUGGGUUACAGGUUUUGUCAUUUUUUGUUAAAAUCUUUACUAACCUUUUUUAUAAUAGAUAUUCUUUUGGUUGGAUCUUCAUGUGCGUUUGAGUUUUUGUCUUAUAUCAAGUUAAAGGUCAUGUCUUUGUAUGGAAUUUGAAGGUUGAAAGAGCAUCACAUACUCCGCUAUUUCUAAGGAAAGAGAGGUCUUUAAGGUAUUAUUUCUGGUUUGAGAAAGGAACGACCCAGUAAGUUGAACCCUUUUAUAUAUUUUUGCUCCCCAAAUCAAAUGUUUUGUUUUCGUUUUCUUUAGGUAUAGAGAACUUGGUGAUGCUACGAUUUGAUGAGGAAAGCCACGAAUCAAGCAAAAAACUUUGAAAAUCAUAUAGACAAUAUCAACUUUCUAUGAUAAUUAUACGCAAUUAUGAUGUUUAGAUAGUACAUUAUAGCGGAUCCAGCCAUGUUCAUAAGUGGGGUGCAUAGGCAAGGCGGCUAUAAUCUCCUAGGGUCAAUGAAUCAAAAAUAGAAAAUAUUUAUAGAUUAUCUAAUUUGAACAAGGUAACUUGUCCUGUUGUUGAGAAGGAUGAGGAGAAGCUAAAUCUAGAAGUCGAAAUUGCCCUCGUCGUUAAGUAAAGUUCUCAAGCAUUGAUAUGUAAACCAACCCCUUUCUAUCUCUCUUUAUCUGUGUGUUUGCAAAAAUAAAACCCUUUCUAUCUCUCUUCCGUGAUUAAUUUUUUGUUAAAUCAAGCAUCUGCGAGUUUUUGUCAUUUCUGGAAUCUUCAGUUAUUUUUCUAUGCUCUAACAUUUGUUUAUUUUCUCACUUUAGAUUAAUCUCAAGUAGCCAUUGAUAUACAUUUCUAUCUCGUUUAAUUAACUAUGAGUAAAGGUUUAUAUAUCUUGAGUACUUGGUGAUUAUGCUUAACAUGGAAGUGAGCAUCUAACAAAUUAUAUGUUUUUCUGUAUUUUAAUUUGCAUCAAAGUUUUUUGUUGUGAUAAUUUGCAGAAUAAGAAAGUUUGCAGGAUUAGGUGUGUCAACUUUGAGUGCAAAAGUGAAAUCAUCUUCAACCACUAAAGAAAACGUCAUGGACUGGGCUAAACUUGGAAUGUUUCUCGAUAAUCGUUUGGAAUGUUUCUCGAUAAUCGUUUGUGUAAUAAUUGAAUUUGGUUGUAAGAUUUGGGUUCAUAUAUUGUAAGUGCUUUUACUUGUCAUUGCCAUACUCAAUAUAGGAGUAAUAGGACACUAUGAUUGUUGUUCCAACUCAAAUAUAGUGAUGUUGGUAGCGUUGGUUCUUUUUGAACUGUAUUUCCUUUUCUUGUAACUACUUUUUAAAAGUACAAUAUUGGAAGGAUGAUGGAA